rnacentral:rRNA from 1 species
UACGUAGGUGGCAAGCGUUGUCCGGAAUUACUGGGCGUAAAGCGCACGUAGGCGGAUAUUUAAGUCAGGGGUGAAAUCCCAGAGCUCAACUCUGGAACUGCCUUUGAUACUGGGUAUCUUGAGUAUGGAAGAGGUGAGUGGAACUGCGAGUGUAGAGGUGAAAUUCGUAGAUAUUCGCAAGAACACCAGUGGCGAAGGCGGCUCACUGGCCCGAUACUGACGCUGAGGUGCGAAAGCGUGGGGAGCAAACAGG